CACCUGAUGCUGGGAAAUGUAGUUCUGGGCUGGGAAAUGAAGAAAUAAAUCCCCACCGGCGGCUGUCCCUCCCCGCACGGAUCCCGUG